ACGGGAGGCAGCAGUGAGGAAUAUUGGUCAAUGGGCGGAAGCCUGAACCAGCCAAGUCGCGUGAAGGAUGAAGGUAUUAUGUAUUGUAAACUUCUUUAGACGUAGAGAAAUAAGGGGAUCGUGAUCCCUGAUGCUAGUAUACGUAGAAUAAGGAUCGGCUAACUCCGUGCCAGCAGCCGCGGUAAUACGGAGGAUCCGAGCGUUAUCCGGAUUUAUUGGGUUUAAAGGGUGCGUAGGCGGCGUGCCAAGUCAGCGGUCAAAGUUCCGGGCUCAACCCGGUGAUGCCGUUGAAACUGGUGUGCUCGAGUUCGUGCGAGGAAGGCGGAAUGCGUUGUGUAGCGGUGAAAUGCAUAGAUAUAACGCAGAACCCCGAUUGCGAAGGCAGCUUUCCAGCACGUCACUGACGCUGAUGCACGAAAGCGUGGGGAUCGAACAGGAUUAGAUACCCUGGUA
rnacentral:rRNA from 1 species